rnacentral:lncRNA from 1 species
ACCAGUUGGUGUUCCAGACCCGGUCUCUUGACAUAAGUAAGUUAAUUGCUAACAGGAUGAUGAUACUGGUUUCACUUUUAAAUGUGGGUUUCAAAAGCAUAAGUUUUCAAAACUGUCAGAGAAACAGAACCCUGGGUAUGGAAAAACCUCCAAGAAGAAAUCCAAUUUGCAUUCCACUCAUUUCACAAGGAGGAAACUGAGGCCUAGAGAUUCCAGUCAGGGUCAGAGCAGAGCCAGGACAAGAUGCUGGGGUUUGAUCUUUGGUUGCUAUCUCCUUCCAUCAGCCUCACUGCUUUUUCUAUGCCUGCUUUUCCAUUAUGCUUUCUGGGGAGAGGAUUUUCCACAAGCUGGAUGUUUCAUGGCUCUAGCAGGGGGAUUUGGGGUCGCGUGUUAGGACAGUUUUUGAUAGGGCCACUUUGCCAACUGCAACAACACUCAUUCCCUGACAAUGGAAUUGCUGGCAUCUCCUAUCAGCUACUGAAGUCCUUAGAAGUCCUGGGAGUAAACAAAGCCUGACAACUCUGUUCCCUGUGCUGUGACCUGUUCACCUCCCUGCCACUUCCAACUUCACUUCUCCCCGAGUAGCUUCCAUGUUAUUUAAUUGAGCAGGACUUCCAGAAAUCAGGCAGUAUGUGCUGAAGAUGUCAAAAAAGAGUAUUUGCACAGGGGAUGCGUGUUGGUCUGAGCUCUUUAAACUCCAGGUUGAAGCUGGUGCAGAAGAGUCUCUCUAUGUUCCUCCAGUUGCCUUUCCUCUUGAAACUUCCUUUCAGUGAUUUCCUUACUUACUCUUAACCACUUCAUGUCAUAAAAUCACUAAGCUUCUCAUUCUGAUAAAUGUUAUUUCUUAAAACUCUCAGGUGCCUACUUACUCUGGAAUAUUCCUUUUAUCAGGCAGUUUUAAUAAAAGCAUGAGGAACCUUUUAAAACAAACACAUCAAACUCAACUUAAAGUUUACUGUGAAUCACAAUAGCAAUCCUACCUCAAAUUCAUUUGGUAAUGUCUAUUUGGACGCUAAUGUCCACAGCAGCAUUUUUCAUAGCUACAAAUGUCUGAAGAUAGAAAGUGGAAGCAACCCAAAUAAAUACUGAUGCCAUCAACCUGAUGCCUGGGUGAACUAAAUGUGGUAUAUCUAUACAACAGACUAUUACUUGGCAAUGUAAAUGAAGUAUUGACAGAUGCUAAAACAUGGAUGAAUCUCAAAAAGUUCUGCUUGGUGGAAAAAGUCAGAAAGACUACAUUGUAUGAUGCCUUUUCUGUACAAUGUUCAGAAAAGGCAGAUUUAGAGAGACAGAAAGUAGAUUAGUGACUGUCUAGGACUAGAGAUGGGAAUGAG